rnacentral:rRNA from 1 species
CGCCUUGCCAGCCCGCUCAGAAACUUAAAGGAAUUGACGGGGGCCCGCACAAGCGGUGGAGCAUGUGGUUUAAUUCGAUGAUACGCGAGGAACCUUACCUGGGCUCAAAUGUAUGUUGACGUAUUCUGAAAGGGAUACUUCUUCGGACAAUAUACAAGGUGCUGCAUGGUUGUCGUCAGCUCGUGCCGUGAGGUGUCGGGUUAAGUCCCAUAACGAGCGCAACCCCUAUCAUUAGUUGCCAUCAGGUCAAGCUGGGGACUCUAAUGAAACUGCCUACGCAAGUAGUGAGGAAGGUGGGGAUGACGUCAAAUCAGCACGGCCCUUACGUCCAGGGCUACACACGUGCUACAAUGGCCGGCACAACGGGAAGCGAGUUCGCGAGGACAAGCGGAUCCCUUAAAGCCGGUCGCAGUUCGGAUUGAAGUCUGCAACUCGACUUCAUGAAGCUGGAAUCGCUAGUAAUCGUGGAUCAGCCAAGCCGCGGUGAAUACGUUCCCGGGCCUU